UACGGGGGGGGCAAGCGUUGUUCGGAAUUAUUGGGCGUAAAGCGUCCGCAGGUGGCGAUUCAAGUCUGCGGUCAAAGACUGGGGCUUAACCCUGGAAAGGCCGUGGAAACUGAAAAGCUAGAGUGCAGUAGGGGUAGAGGGAAUUCCCGGUGUAGCGGUGAAAUGCGUAGAGCUCGGGAAGAACAUCGGUGGCGAAAGCGGUCUGCUGGACUGCAACUGACACUCAGGGACGAAAGCUAGGGGAGCGAAUGGG
rnacentral:rRNA from 1 species